rnacentral:SRP_RNA from 2 species
GGAGCAAUAAGUUUCUUACGAAGCGUGUCAGGACCUGACGGUAGCAGCACUAAGUAUGGAGCUUAUGUGCUCUUUUU